rnacentral:lncRNA from 1 species
AUGGACAUGGCACCCACAUUGGCACCCUCUGGUCUUGUCCCCACAGGACACCCCUCUGUCAUGGUGAUCAAGACGGCUAGGGGGCAGGGAAGGCGAGAAGAGGGAGGAGACACUGGUGUGACUCAUAGCAAAGUAAGAGCUUCUUCCCUCCUCUCUGCACCCCAAAUACGGCUGCAUUAGAACUAAGCAAGCUAUUGAUACCACACUGACCUAAAAAUAACAAAUGGCGAAGUCAGUGGCCUAGGAGGCUGGAGAAUCUUAACACCAGGUGGCCCAGGGCAUACCCAGAGCUUCUGGCAACCGAAAUCUGGAAAAAGUGGUAACAGUUCCAUCUGGUCAAAUGACAAAAGCCUAAAUUUGUAUCAAGUAGUGGCUGAUAACAGUCAAUUUCUACCUAGAAGGCACUACGUUGGAUCUAGGUGUUCAGGGUUCUUUAAGUCAUGCUCUGAAUGAAUAAGCAAUGAUUCCAAAGUAUGUGAAGCUAGCCUCAC